rnacentral:rRNA from 1 species
GACGAACGCUGGCGGCGUGGAUUAGGCAUGCAAGUCGAACGGUAUCAUCCUUUCGGGGGUGAGAGAGUGGCGAACUGGUGAGUAACACGUAGGUUAUCUACCCUCAAGACGGGGACAACCCAGGGAAACUUGGGCUAAUACCGGAUGUGAGCAACUUUUAGUUGUUUGAAAGGUGGCGUAAGCUAUCGCUUGGGGAUGAGCCUGCGUCCUAUUAGUUAGUUGGUGAGGUAACGGCUCACCUAGGCAAUGAUAGGUAGGCGGCCUUAACGGGUGGUCGCCCACACUGGGAUUGAGAUACGGCCCAGACUCCUACGGGAGGCAGCAGUCGAGAAUAGUCUACAAUGGUCGGAAGACUGAUAGUGCGACGCCGCGUGAACGAUGAAUCCCUUCGGGGUGUAAAGUUCUUUUAUAUGUGAGCAGUGCUUCUUAUAUUAACAGUAUGGGGAGAGAGAUAUUAGCAUAUGAAUAAGCAACGGCUAACUCCGUGCCAGCAGCCGCGGU